rnacentral:lncRNA from 1 species
CGAAACAAAACACACACACAGACGCUGAGACGUCAAAAGAAACACACAAAUGGAAACAGACUACCAAUGGUUGGUCUUACGUCUGACUCCACACAAACAAACACCAAUAGGAUACGGAAUGCCAAUCGCUGGUCUUACAUCCAUCUCCUAACACACACAAGAAGGUUAACAAACAGACAAGUUAAUAGGGAGUCUGGAACUCGAGCCUAAUAACUGUCAAG